GCCAGGAUGGCGGAAUAGGCAUACGCGUCGGUUUCAAAAACCGAUGGGCACUCCAAGCCCGUGCGGGUUCGAGUCCCGCUCCUGGCACCA
rnacentral:tRNA from 1 species